GGGUCUGUGGUUGCAAGCCGAUGCCAGUCGCAGGCAAAACGGUCCACGUAAGCCGGGCAAAGCCCCGGUGAGCAUGGUGCGGUCUAGAUGUAAGCCCGGCCACGCGAAAGCGUGAGAGGACGGCGUGAGGGCGUUUGACACGCAGAGCAAAAUCCCAGCCGGCGAGUGUGGGGACAAAGACCAGGUCAGCCGAU
rnacentral:ncRNA from 1 species